AACGAACGCUGGCGGUGUGGAUAAGACAUGCAAGUCGAACGGGACAGACCGAGUAGCAAUAUUUGUAAUGUUCAGUGGCGAACGGGUGCGUAACACGUGGAUAACAUUCCGGUAAGCGGGGAAUAGCCCAGGGAAACUUGGAUUAAUACCGCAUGUGGCCGCAAGGCUAAAGACGGGGACCGAAAGGCCUGUCACUUUCCGAUUGGUCCGCGGCCUAUCAGCUAGUUGGCGGGGUAAUGGCCCACCAAGGCUACGACGGGUAGCUGGUCUUAGAGGACGACCAGCCACACUGGAACUGAGACACGGCCCAGACACCUACGGGUGGCGGCAGUCGAGAAUCUUUCACAAUGGGGGCAACCCUGAUGGAGCGACGCCGCGUGGAGGAUAAGGUCUUCGGAUUGUAAACUCCUGUCAUGCGAGAACAAGGUACUCAGGCUAAUAACCUGAUUGUUUGAUGGUACCGCAAGAGGAAGAGACGGCUAACUCUGUGCCAGCCGCCGCAGUAACAC
rnacentral:rRNA from 1 species